rnacentral:misc_RNA from 1 species
AACGCACCUUGCGCCCUUUGGCUAUUCCGAAGGGCAUGCCUGUUUGAGUAUCAUGAACACCUCAACUCUCACGGUCCGCCGUGACGAGCUUGGACUUUGGGGGUCUUGCCGGCCCAGCGUCGGCUCCUCUCAAACGGAUCAGCUUGCCAGUGUUUGGUGGCGUCACGGGUGUGAUAACUAUCUACGCUUGUGGUUUUCCGCCAUGCAACCUUCAGCGAUGGAGGUUCGCUGGAGCUCACAGAUGUCUCUCCUUCGCGAGGACGGCUUUUGAACGUUUGAUCUCAAAUCAGGUAGGACUACCCGCUGAACUUAA